GGUUGGUUGUUUUUUUUUUUUUUUUUCUGAGAAUUUACAAUGAAUAAAGAAAGAACUAUUUAUAUGACUUUUCUCUUUCAGCUAGGAGAAUUAAUGAAGCUUGAUGUCCUACCUGCAAACUAGCCAAGGAUGGAUUGCAGAUUUAUGAAUGCACCUGCCGUGUGAAGAACACCAGUUUCUGUGCUACAAAACAAGUGUCUGUGAAGAGGAAAAUUACCACAAAAACUAUUAAGCAACAUCGUUUAAGGCCACUAUGGUAUCUUCAUAGAAGAGCACAUCUUCCAUCUAUCAAAAAAAUGCAUAAUUAAAAUCUUAAUGUUUUACUGCUAUGAAAAGAGAAAUAAACUGAAACUAUUGUUGCA
rnacentral:lncRNA from 1 species